rnacentral:lncRNA from 1 species
UAGGCUCACAAUCAGAAUUUUUCGGCACAACCAUGUAGAUUUAUUUAAAAUUAAACUGUAAGGAAUUUCUUUUUCCAUCUAGCAUUAGACGAAUUAGUAUAUAAAAAUGCACGUAAAACUUCUUACUGCUUACACUCAAAGCUUUAAAUAAUCUAUGUUUAUAUAACCUUUGUUUCUUAUUUUUUGGUGUAGAAUACGCUUACAACACAUGCUUACAAAUAACCUCUGACACUUUGUAUAUAAAAAAGGUACAAUGGAAUUUACAAAAUAAUUCUCAAAUACCAGAACUUAUUUUAUUCCCUUACAUGGGGAUCGUGUUAAAAUCGACCUAAUCCACAAAGUCUCAAAAAACCUUCUCUAAAUUUAGUAGACAUUAAAUUAUAUAAAAUAGGAUUAAUAGCGGAAUUUAAAUAUAACAUUACUCUACAGAAAUAUAAUAAACUGUAAUAUCCUUCGAUUCCAAGAUUGAUUAUCAUUUCUUGAGGUACUACAAUUAUCCAUAAGGUUAAUGCUCGAAAAGCUGGACCACGGCUUAUCGCUGGAUUUGCCAUUAAAUGCAAUGCUAUCACUGUGUACAAGACCAUUAGAAUUAAUAAUGGAACCACGAAAAAGACGAUUAUCGUUGUAAGAACAAAAACAUUCAUCCAUGUUGCAUCGGCUGAAGUGUAACAGGUUGGGAUAAAUGUAUCGUCGACUUCUUCUAACUCGUAGUUUACCAUUAAAAGUAUCGGACUGUAGAUCAAAAUAAAAUUUUAUUAAAUUUA